GACGCAGCAACGCCGCGUGGGUGAUGAAGGCCUUCGGGUCGUAAAGCCCUGUCGGGUGGGAAGAAGCCCCUGACCGGUAAACAAUCGGUAGGGAUGACGGUACCACUAGAGGAAGCACCGGCUAACUCUGUGCCAGGCAGCCGCGGUAAUACAGAGGGUGCAAACGUUGUUCGGAAUCACUGGGCGUAAAGCGCGUGUAGGCGGCCGAUUGUGUCGAGUGUGAAAGCCCUCGGCUUAACCGAGGAAGUGCGCUCGAAACUGGUCGGCUUGAAGUACCGGAGAGGGGGGUGGAAUUCCCGGUGUAGAGGUGAAAUUCGUAGAUAUCGGGAGGAACACCAGUGGCGAAAGCGACCCCCUGGACGGAUACUGACGCUGAGACGCGAAAGCGUGGGGAGCAAACAGGAUUAGAUACCCUGGUAGUCCACGCCGUAAACGGUGGGCACUAGGUGUGGCGGGUGUUGACCCCUGCCGUGCCGAAGCUAACGCAUUAAGUGCCCCGCCUGGGGAGUACGGCCGCAAGGUUA
rnacentral:rRNA from 1 species